rnacentral:rRNA from 1 species
UACGUAGGGGGCAAGCGUUGUCCGGAUUCAUUGGGCGUAAAGAGCGUGUAGGCGGCCAGGUAGGUCGGUUGUGAAAACUGGAGGCUCAACCUUCAGAGGUCGACCGAAACCAUCUGGCUAGAGUCCGGGAGAGGAGAGUGGAAUUCCUGGUGUAGCGGUGAAAUGCGCAGAUAUCAGGAGGAACACCGGUGGCGAAGGCGGAUCUCUGGGCCUUACCUGACGCUGCGGCGCGAAAGCUAGGGGAGCAAACAGG